rnacentral:rRNA from 1 species
AUUGAACGCUGGCGGCAGGCUUAACACAUGCAAGUCGAGCGUGCGGCGGACGGGUGAGUAAUGUCUGGGACCCUGCUCGAUGGAGGGGGAUAACUACUGGAAACGUUACCUAAUACCGCAUACCAUCAGAUUUGCCUAGAUGGGCUUAGCAGGUAGGUGGGGUAAUGGCUCACAUAGGCCACGAUCCCUAGCUGGUCUGAGCGGGGGACCAGCCACACUGGAACUGAGACACGGUCAAGACGCCUACGGGAGGCAGCAGUGGGGAAUAUUGCAAAAUGGGCGCAAGCCUGAUACAGCCAGGCCGCGGGUGUGAAGAAGGCCUUCGGGUUGUAAAGCACGUUCAGCGAGGAGGCGUUACUCGCAGAAGAAGCACCGGCUAACUCCGUGCCAGCCGCCGCGGUAAUUC